rnacentral:rRNA from 1 species
GACGAACGCUGGCGGCGUGCUUAACACAUGCAAGUCGAACGGAAAGGCCCUGCUUUUGUGGGGUGCUCGAGUGGCGAACGGGUGAGUAACACGUGAGUAACCUGCCCUUGACUUUGGGAUAUCUUCAGGAAACUGGGGCUAAUACCGGAUAGGAGCUCCUGCUGCAUGGUGGGGGUUGGAAAGUUUCGGCGGUUGGGGAUGGACUCGCGGCUUAUCAGCUUGUUGGUGGGGUAGUGGCUUACCAAGGCUUUGACGGGUAGCCGGCCUGAGAGGGUGACCGGCCACAUUGGGACUGAGAUACGGCCCAGACUCCUACGGGAGGCAGCAGUGGGGAAUAUUGCAAAAUGGGCGGAAGCCUGAUGCAGCAACGCCGCGUGCGGGAUGACGGCCUUCGGGGUGUAAACCGAUUUCGCCUGUGACGAAGAGUGAGUGACGGUAAUGGGUAAAGAAGCACCGGCUAACUACGUG